GACAACCUCAGUUCGGAUUGAAGGCUGAAAUUCGCCUUCAUGAAGCUGGAAUUGCUAGUAAUGGCAGGUCAGCAUACCGCCGUGAAUACGUUCCCGGGCCUUGUACACACCGCCCGUCACACCAUGAGAGUUGGGAAUACCCGAAGCCUGUGAGCUAACUUUUAGAGGCAGCAGUCGAAGGUAGAAUCAAUGAUUGGGGUGAAGUCGUAACAAGGUACC
rnacentral:rRNA from 1 species